AACGAACGCUGGCGGCAUGCCUAACACAUGCAAGUCGAACGAGACCUUCGGGCCUAGGGGCGCACGGGUGCGUAACGCGUGGGAACUUGCACUUAGGUUAGGAAUAACUCCCCGAAAGGUGUGCUAAUACCGCUUAAUGUCUUCGGACCAAAGAUCUAUGGCCUUGGGAUGGGCCCGCGUUGGAUUAGCGAGUUGGUAGGGUAAAAGCCUACCAAGGCGACGAUGCAUAGCUGGUCUGAGAGGAUGAUCAGCCACACUGGGACUGAGACCCGGCCCAGACCCGGACGGGAGGCAGCAGUGGGGAAUAUUAGACGAUGAGCGAAAGCCUGAUCCAGCAAUGCCGCGUGUGUGAGGAAGGCCUUAGGGUUGUAAUUCUCUUUUACCCGGGAUGAUAAUGACAGUACCGGGAGAAUAAGCUCCGGCUAACUACGUG
rnacentral:rRNA from 1 species